rnacentral:rRNA from 1 species
UGGGGAAUAUUGGACAAUGGGCGAAAGCCUGAUCCAGCCAUGCCGCGUGUGUGAAGAAGGCCUUUUGGUUGUAAAGCACUUUAAGCGAGGAGGAGGCUACUUGGAUUAAUACUCUAGGAUAGUGGACGUUACUCGCAGAAUAAGCACCGGCUAACUCUGUGCCAGCAGCCGCGGUAAUACAGAGGGUGCGAGCGUUAAUCGGAUUUACUGGGCGUAAAGCGUGCGUAGGCGGCUUUUUAAGUCGGAUGUGAAAUCCCUGAGCUUAACUUAGGAAUUGCAUUCGAUACUGGGAAGCUAGAGUAUGGGAGAGGAUGGUAGAAUUCCAGGUGUAGCGGAGAAAUGCGUAGAGAUCUGGAGGAAUACCGAUGGCGAAGGCAGCCAUCUGGCCUAAUACUGACGCUGAGGUACGAAAGCAUGGGGAGCAAACAGG